rnacentral:rRNA from 1 species
GUGUCAGCAGCCGCGGUAAUACGUAGGGGGCGAGCGUUGUCCGGAGUUACUGGGCGUAAAGCGCCCGCAGGCGGUCGGUCGCGUUUGAGGUUACAGCUCCUGGCUUAACUGGGAGAGCGUCUCAAAGACGGGCUGACUUGAGGACCAGAGAGGGACACGGAAUUCCGGGUGGAGUGGUGAAAUGCGUAGAUAUCCGGAGGAACACCGAAGGCGAAGGCAGUGUCCUGGCUGGUCCCUGACGCUGAGGGGCGAAAGCUAGGGGAGCGAACGGGAUUAGAUACCCCGGUAGUCC